AGCUCUCAGGCACAGCUGGCUAUUCUGGUCUCAGAAGAAAAGAGAAGAGGCUUUCUGAAGGUCUGGUAGAGAGGAGAGAAGGAACUUGGAAUACAGCUGAAAGGUGGUGUAGCGAAACAGCAGCAGCAGUCCUACCGAGAAAGGACCCAGACGACGUCUCCGCUGGUUAGAGCUUGUCUCUAGAAGAUGGUGAGCCACGGCACCAAGGGGAUGAGGAGUGCCUUGGGUUCCUGCGCCUUCCUUCAGUCUUCAGUCCUCCAGAAGCACUAUAAAGAGGGCUGAAGAACAAGCUUGCUUGGUCCCGGACGCUGUUGUCUUGAAGAUUCCGUCUGUCCCACCAGGACUUUAGGGAGGCAGUUUCAGCAACAGAGAAGGAAGCAGGACUUAAGGACGUCUCUACAUUGGUCGUGUGCCUAGUUACAUUUUGA
rnacentral:lncRNA from 1 species